rnacentral:rRNA from 1 species
UGCAAGUCGAACGGAGGCCCUAGCUUGCUAGGUGUCCUUAGUGGCGCACGGGUGAGUAACACGUGGGAACAUACCUUAUAGUACGGAAUAACUGCGGGAAACUGUAGCUAAUACCGUAUACUCCAGUAAUGGGAAAGAUUUAUCGCUAUAAGAUUGGCCCGCGCAAGAUUAGCUUGUUGGUGAGGUAAAAGCUCACCAAGGCUUCGAUCUUAGCUGGUUUGAGAGGACGAUCAGCCACACUGGGACUGAGACACGGCCCAGACUCCUACGGGAGGCAGCAGUAGGGAAUAUUGGACAAUGGGGGCAACCCUGAUCCAGCAAUGCAGCGUGAGUGACGAAGGCCUUAGGGUUGUAAAACUCUUUCAUCGGUGAGGAUAAUGACAGUAGCCGAAGAAGAAGGACCGGCUAAUUCCGUGCCAGCAGCCGCGGUAAUACGGAAGGUCCUAGCGUUGUUCGGAAUUACUGGGCGUAAAGCGCAUGUAGGCGGAACAGAAAGUUAGAAGUGAAAUCCCUGGGCUCAACCUAGGAAUUGCUUUUAAAACUUCUGUUCUGGAAUUCAGGAGAGGAAAAUGGAAUUUCCAGUGUAGAGGUGAAAUUCGUAGAUAUUGGAAGGAACACCAGUGGCGAAGGCGAUUUUCUGGACUGAUAUUGACGCUGAGAUGCGAAGGCAUGGGUAGCAAACGGGAUUAGAUACCCCGGUAGUCCAUGCAGUAAACGAUGGGUGCUAGUCGUCGGACUUUUGU